GGGGGGGGGGGGCAAGCGUUGUUCGGAAUUACUGGGGCGUAAAGGGCGUGUAGGCGGUCCCGCAAGUCUUUCGUGAAAUCCCACAGCUCAACUGUGGAACUGCGAGGGAAACUGCAGGACUUGAGUCCGGGAGAGGAGAGUGGAAUUCCCAGUGUAGCGGUGAAAUGCGUAGAUAUUGGGAGGAACACCGGUGGCGAAGGCGGCUCUCUGGACCGGUACUGACGCUGAGGCGCGAAAGCUAGGGGAGCAAACGGGAUUAGAUACCCCGGUAGUCCUAGCCUUAAACGAUGAGCACUUGGUGUGGCGGGUAUCGACCCCUGCCGUGCCGAAGCUAACGCAUUAAGUGCUCCGCCUGGGGAGUACGGUCGCAAAGGCUG
rnacentral:rRNA from 1 species